rnacentral:rRNA from 1 species
GAUCAUGGCUCAGGAUGAACGCUGGCGGCGUGCCUAACACAUGCAGGUCGAGCGAAGCGCUUUGCUUAGAUUCUUCGGAUGAAGAGGAUUGUGACUGAGCGGGCGGACGGGUGAGGUAACGCGUGGGUAACCUGCCUCAUACAGGGGGAUAACAGUUAGAAAUGACUGCUAAUACCGCAUAAGACCACAGCACCGCAUGGUGCGGGGGUAAAAACUCCGGUGGUAUGAGAUGGACCCG